CUAUCUUCGCCAGAAGGUGGAAGCGCUUUGGAAGUUUGAAUGGCGGAUCCGAGAGGGAGGAAUUAGGAUGGGCAGGAAUUUGCAAAGAGGUGUUUAGCCCUGGGUGUAGUAUGCGCGAGCAUGCCUAAAAACAGACUAAAACGGGAAGGGAAAAAUAAAACGCUUCUGACGCCUUUAGGACUAACAUACAUUUUAGUGUGAACUCAACAAGUAGAUACGGUAGUACUUGCGAGUCUUGCAGGUGCUACAAACCUGCCCUUCCCGUCUCUGCAAGUAUGUGGUUUUCAAAUGUAAUACGUUUGACGUCAAAGUGAAGACAACAUAGACAACACGAAAGGGAAAAGGCAACUUCUCCCCCACAUCCUCGACAUAUAGACCAGUACCCUGUGGGUUGACUCAAGGGGAGUAGAACCACUGAAUCUGCUGUUUAUGGUUUCUUCAGGACUCUUUGUUCUUCCUGCAUCAGACUAGCAAGUUACCCACAGAAAAAAAUCUUACUCAUGGUAUUCACAGUUCAGGAAAUUGUUCACAAAAGACAUCAGGAGGAUUCACUGGCUGACAGAAAAUUGGAAAAUGAACAC